GAUAAUAGAGUUCUGCACAAGCUUACUUGAUCCAUAGAUAUUAGAGUAAAUAAAUGAAAGGGAUAGGAAACUUCCGUUGCGUGGGCGGAUUAUUUCAUUAAGAUUAUUAGGUUGCCUAGCAACAUAGGCAAGUUACCCUUCCCGGGCCUUUUCCUUCACUGUUCGGCGUCCUAUUUCAACUCAUAACUCUAAAGUGACUUGUGUUCAUCCUCUGCAAUGAUAAUUAAAGGCAUUACAGAUACCUCCCUUACAUUCUGUCUAAUUUUUGAAGUAAAAUAGUAUUGAUAACUAUGGAAUACAAAAGAAGUAAUACCAGAAUUAACUAUUACCAACUAUUCUAUACAUUAUUAUGGAGGGCACGCAACAUAAAUGACUCCGAUGACAGAUUUGGUGACUGAUUUAUAAUCGAUUCAAAGUUUUUGCAAAGACCUUCGUUUUGUACCUUUUUCUUUACAGUUCAAUGAUUGGCACAUUAAAAUG